UUCCAGUCCAAUAGCGUAUAUUAAAGUUGUUGCAGUUAAAAAGCUCGUAGUUGAAUUUCGGGGUUAGUAGGUUGGUCAUGCCUCCGGUAUGUACUGAUCUCACUGAUUCCUCCUUCCUUAUGAACCGUAAUGCCAUUAAUUUGGUGUUGCGGGGAAUUUGGACUGUUACUUUGAAAAAAUUAGAGUGUUUAAAGCAGGCUAACGCUUGAAUACAUUAGCAUGGAAUAAUGAAAUAGGACGUUCGAUCUUAUUUUGUUGGUUUCUAGGAUUGACGUAAUGAUUAAUAGGGAUAGUUGGGGGCAUUAGUAUUCAAUUGUCAGAGGUGAAAUUCUUGGAUUUAUUGAAGACUAACUACUGCGAAAGCAUUUGCCAAGGAUGUUUUCAUUAAUCAAGAACGAAAGUUAGGGGAUCGAAGACGAUCAGAUACCGUCGUAGUCUUAACCAUAAACUAUGCCGACUAGGGAUCGG
rnacentral:rRNA from 1 species